rnacentral:rRNA from 1 species
CGACCGGCGCACGGGUGAGUAAUGCGUAUCCAACCUUCCCAUUACUGUGGGAUAACCUGCCGAAAGGCAGACUAAUACCGCAUAGUCUUCGAUGACGGCAUCAGAUUUGAAGUAAAGAUUUAUCGGUAAUGGAUGGGGAUGCGUCUGAUUAGCUUGUUGGCGGGGUAACGGCCCACCAAGGCGACGAUCAGUAGGGGUUCUGAGAGGAAGGUCCCCCACAUUGGAACUGAGACACGGUCCAAACUCCUACGGGAGGCAGCAGUC